rnacentral:lncRNA from 1 species
CUCACAUCUGAUAGAAUGAAACUUUCUCAUCUUUGUUGCCUUCUUUCUUAUGGAAAAACCAACUGCUAGACAUUGUCAAAGUCACUUUCAAUUCUGGCAUCAUUGAAAUUUCACUGCAAUUUUUACUAUUGAAGGUUGGAGUUACUACCUUGAUCCAAUUCUUCUACAUAUAAUUUUCAAUACUGUUAAAACUACCAAGCAAAAUAGGCGAAAAGAUAAUGUUUGCGGUCAAUGUUUACACAACUGAUGAACUUUUAUUUCUUAAGGAAGUAGGGCAACGAACAGAUGCUGGUCAAGCUUUUUGUUAAAGAAGGUUUGAGAUCCGGAUCGGAACUGAAUAUUCCAGAUAUUAUUUAUUUGUUGUUUCAUCAUUAGUUCUGCCAUGUAUUAUUGAUUCCAUGUUCUGUUUCUUUUAUGGCUUUGUCUUUGAUGAAUGUAAUUUUAAAAUGACUGACCAUGAUCGGUUUUGUUCUAAUGUACCAUAAAGUCGAAAAAAAAGUUCUCUGAUUCUUCCUUUGAUGGAGAAUUUUAGGAUGCUAAUGUAUAUAAGAUCAUCUUCC